rnacentral:rRNA from 1 species
GACGAACGCUGGCGGCGUGCUUAACACAUGCAAGUCGAACGAUGAAGCCUAGCUUGCUAGGUGGAUUAGUGGCGAACGGGUGAGUAAUACGUGAGUAACCUACCUUUAACUCUGGGAUAAGCCUGGGAAACUGGGUCUAAUACCGGAUACGACCAAUCUCCGCAUGGGGUGUUGGUGGAAAGCGUUAUGUAGUGGUUAUAGAUGGGCUCACGGCCUAUCAGCUUGUUGGUGAGGUAACGGCUCACCAAGGCGACGACGGGUAGCCGGCCUGAGAGGGUGACCGGCCACACUGGGACUGAGACACGGCCCAGACUCCUACGGGAGGCAGCAGUGGGGAAUAUUGCACAAUGGGCGCAAGCCUGAUGCAGCGACGCCGCGUGAGGAAUGACGGCCUUCGGGUUGUAAACCUCUGUUAGCAGGGAAGAAGAGAAAUUGACGGUACCUGCAGAGAAAGCGCCGGCUAACUACGUG